rnacentral:sRNA from 1 species
GUUUUCUGCAUACUUGCUUCUCUCUCGGUAUGAUUUGUAGAAAUUUAUUUAAGAGGGCAUGCCAAAAGACAAAAACAAAAAAUAAAAAGUUGAGAUGGAUGGGCACAAUGAGAUUAUUCUGUCUGCAGACUUGUUUUUCAUAAAUGAAAGUACUAAAAAAUACCAUCAGUUCUCAUUAUUGUUGGUAGUUAUGUUAUAUAAAGUCUCUGUAAACACCAAAUUAGCAGAUUCUUAACUAUUGCUCUUAAGGGAAAUAUAGGGGUAGGUUUCUGUGAGCCUCUGGUCACAUUUUCACCAACUGAUCAAUACAUAAGCUUGUUUUAUGUGUAUUUCUAUUUAAAGACACUUUAUUUAAUAUAUAACAUUGAUUCAUUAACAUUGAGCUCAUGGCCAACAGCACUAUAACUCAUGACUUGAACAAAACUCAUCUAACCUACAUAUUUUCUCCAUAAAGCACAUCACAGCAUUCUUUUGCUUAGGAACACUAGACAGCACUUCAGCACUAUGUUUCAGGGUCAAUUUAAAUACUAAAAUCACCAAGAAAAAUGCAAACAACCAAAAAUGCAAACAACAUGGCAUUAAAUAGACCAUGAAAAGGACACUUGUUUAUAGUCAGAGCUGAGACAAGAAGGCAGAGCAUUGCCCUGCCUGCCCUUAACUGGAAAUGUGCAUGUUGAGUGAGUAAAAUUAUUUGUCACACUGCACAUGCACUUCUGCAAAUGACCGUGAGAGUGCUGCAAGUAUUGAUUUUGGGAUUACAAAUCAAUUCUUAAAGUAGGUAAAUUUGCAAAUACAGAAUCCACAAAUAAUGAGCCAUUUGAAAUGAUAAAAAUGAUAAAAAUGUAUUGAAACAGUGCUGCUCUUAGAAAGAACUUGGUGCUCUUGCUUGACUAAUUAUUAUUUUACUAUUCCUCUUGUGUUCAAGUCAGAAGAGGUAAACCUUAGGAUCUUCUCUGUAUUAUUAGAGAAUCGGGCAGCAUAGAGAAUAGGGCAUUUCUAUGUACAGUGCUUAAAUAUUUUCUACUGAUGGGAAAAUACCUUAUGAUCAAAGGAGGCUGGGAUAAUUAUUUUAUGCUAUUUUAUAACCAGAGCAUGCUUUGACUCACAACAGGCAUUAGUUUCUUCACCAGUCUCUGAAACCUCCGUAAGAGAAGUUUAACAGGUAUAAACAGUGAUUAACCACUCUUUCGUUUGCGUUAAACAAACAAUGUAAUUGAACAGAGUACAUAACCCUUCACUUGCUCUUAGCAAACUUCCAGAGGUUCAGAACUGCCUGGACCAUGGCAAUUCAUGGGAGACGGUUUUAGUGAUUGUUUUCUUUUUCUUUCUCUUUUUCUCACUAUAUUUCAGCAUAGCAUUAUAAAAUAUCGUGUUGAUAAAUGCUUUGUUUUAUAUUUAUUACCAACAGUAACUAUAACCUUUCUUUUGAAACAGACCUUCAACAAGCUUGUGGGAAAGUUUAGCCAGUCCAUCUUUCACUUGAAUUUAACACAAAUACUCUCAGCCACAAUGGAAGGGAAGCUGGUUGUCUGGGACAUACACCGCCCACCCUCAUCUGCCUCCACCUUUUUGGGCUUUCCCUAUAUCAAGCCUUGUAAAUUGGUUCAUUUGCAGAAAGAGGGUAUCACGGUACUUACCACAAUUGAUAGCUACAUUGUCACAGGUGACAUUAAGGGGAACAUUAAGUUCUAUGAUCACACCCUGUCUAUUGUUAACUGGUACAGUCACUUGAAACUGGGCGCCAUAAGAACUCUGUCCUUUUCAAAGACCCCAGCAACUCCUCCUACUGAAAAAUCAAACUAUCCUCCUGACUGCACUUUAAAAGGUGACCUUUUUGUCUUAAGGAAUUUUAUCAUUGGAACAUCUGAUGCCGCGGUGUACCACUUAACAACAGAUGGGACCAAACUUGAGAAGUUAUUUGUAGAGCCCAAGGAUGCCAUUUGUGCCAUCUCCUGCCACCCAUAUCAACCCCUCAUUGCCAUCGGGAGCAUCUGUGGGAUGAUCAAAGUGUGGAAUUAUGAAAACAAACAAUAUCUUUUCAGCAGGGUUUUUGAGAAGGGGCUUGGAGUCCAGAGCCUGACCUACAACCCGGAAGGAGCCCUUCUUGGAGCUGGCUUUACAGAGGGGACAGUUUACGUUCUUGAUGCAAUGUCUUUAGAAAAUGAAAGCCCAGAGCCUUUCAAAUAUUCCAGAACCAGUGUGACUCAUAUAAGCUUUUCCCAUGACUCCCAGUAUAUGGCAACUGCUGUAAGUAUUUUCAUGGACAACCCAUCCAGUGGCUUAGCAAUUUUAUUUGAAACCAAAAGAGGCCAGUCAUAGUAGCUAACACCUGUAAUCCCAAUGAUUUGGGAGGCCGAGGUGGGAGGAUCAUUGGAGGACAGGAAUUCAAGACCAGCCUAGGAAACACAGCAGGACCCCACUGCUACAAAAACAUUUUUUAAAAAUUAGCCAGGCCUUGUGGCACACAUCUGUAGCCCCAGUUAUCCAGGAGGCUGAGGCGGGAGGACCCCUGCGGGCCAGGAGUUUGAGGUUACAGUGAGCUAUAAGGCAGGUAUGUUGGUCUGCCUUUAUGUUGGGAGGGAAAAGCAGUGGUCUUCGCUAAACUCCUGUCCCUUCAGGCGCUCUCCAUCCCCACACUGGUGCGGCCACUCCUCCGGUUUGUGUACACAACGCUUCUGAAGCCAAAGCCGUCUCAGCAUACUGUGGGUGCACACAGUCCAGCCUCUGUGUCCCCUCAGGCCAGGCUCUCCCACUCCAACUGGGUUCACUUGCAGCCUUCAUACCUUUCAAAAACACAUAGCUUUUUUAUUGUAUGUAGCUGGACAAAGAAAAGGAAGGACAAAGGCACAAAGAGUCAGGCUUUUGGCUUUCCACAGACAGCGAGGGGGCACC